AACAUUAAUAGCAAGACUGGUAAUCAAAUAUUUCAGGGUGUGUGUGACAUGUGGACCACCUAUUACAUGGUCCCUGAAUGUGAUAAUGAAACUGUAUGAACUGGCUUCAUUUAAUUUCGCCAAAUAUAAUACUAACUAAUAACUGAGGAGCUGGGGUUUGAUUCCUGCUAGGAGCAAAAAAUUUCUCUCCUUCAUAAUGUCCAGACUGGCUCUGGGGCACACCUGCCCUCUUAUACAAUCUGUACUGUGGUCUGUUUCCUUGGGGGUAAGGUGGCUGGGUCAUCAAAAUGACUACUCAGCUCCAUCUACUGUUGAUGUUAAAAAAGCUGGAGCUAUACCUCCAUUCCCCCAUAUAUCUACAUGGUGUGGUGCUUAAUUAAUUAAGCCCAGGAAUAACUUCACCUGUUCAGUAACUGCAUUCUAAAGGAGAUUUUUCUUGAAGAAUUUGUCAAAUCCUCACUUCUUAGGAGCCCAAAGGUCCAUCAGCAUUGCUAGUGGACUCGUCUCGAGCCAGAAAAAUCCAGCCCGAGUGUUCACAUCCUAUUUCCUUAUGAUCAGGCUGACAAAAAGAGGACUGCAUACUCUACAUAUAUGAGAGGAAACUGCAGUAACUGCAUAAGAAAGCUUGCAUGAAUAUUAGUGGCAUCAUGCUUUUCUAUAAUGGCGACUAAAAGAAAUUUGAAAUAUUGGAAUAUUUUCAUUUCAUAGCUGGCAAUACAGCUGAGGUCUGGUCAUACUGUGGCUCAAGGUCAGAUAGUAUGACAUUGUCCAAGGUCACAUUGCAGUAUACUGCAGUUCAGCUGUUGUCCAGUGAGCAUGGCAUAAAGAUGGUUGUUCCACUAGAGGUUUCACUGGGAACUAGUCAGAGGACAUCAAGAAUCCAACUGAGGCUGAUACCAACCCCACGCGAAAUAAUGAAGAUGGAUCUCAGUUAUCUUUAAAUGAAAGAAAUUGGAUCCAAAGUCCAAUAAACUCACAUAAGAAGAUGUUAGUAAAGUUUAAAGACCAGAGUGAAAUAUAUUUUAAAACAAAUAAUCGUUUUGAGGUCUUAUCUAACCUCAAUGAUGUUGUUAAAUCAACGAAUGCAAGUGGAGCUGUUCGAAAUAUUGUGGAUAAUGGUACAAGUCAAAUAAGUGUUAGUAAAUACAAGCAUAAUGGAAAUGCUCAAAUGACAAAUAACAUUCCAGUAAUAGUAAAUGGUGUGGUAAUAUCUUAUAAUAAUAAAGUGCAGAUUGGUGACAUGUUUUAUUUAGGUGAUAGUGUCAAAACUUGUGUAACUGACACAAACAACAGGCAAGAGAUUUCAAAGAAGAAAGUUUCCGUUUCAGCAACAGUCACUUCAAAGAAUAAAGGAAACCUUUCCCUGCUAACUACUGGAGAGAGUCACAUGAGUGAUUGUGCUAGGAACAGCAAUCUACUUAAACAAAAAAUACUUAUAACUGGUGAUAGUCAUGUUAGAGGGUUGGCAGCUAACAUUAACAGCAACCUCAAUAAUACUUUUUAUGCAAUGGGUAGCAUUAAACCAAAUGCCAAUAUCGAGGUGAUACUUCUUCCUUACACACUUUUACAGAAUAUUUUUAAAAAAAAAGAUGUAAUUAUAUUUUUUGGUGGUACUAAAGACAUAAGUAAGAAUGAGUCAAAAAAAAGGACUUCUAUCACUAAAGGCUUUUAUUCAAAGAACUAACAACACAAAUGUAAUCUUGCUUAGAGCGCCAUUAAGAUAUGAUUUGUCUCCUGAUUCUUGUGUUAAUUUAGAAGUAAAUCUCUUUAAUAAGAGGUUACAAUCCCUUGCACAUAAUUUUGCUCAUGUAAGCCUUGUAAAUGCAUGUACUGAAAGAUUCCAUCAUACUAAACAUGGCCUGCAUUUAAAUAAUCAAGAGAAAGACUGUAUCUCUCUUCUUCUUGUGAAAGAGAUUAAUACCAUGUUUGGUCUAAAAGCAAUUUCCUCAUCUAUAGCCUUACCAUGGGAAGAUCACAAGAUAAAUUCAUUUCAAUGGGCUCAGGGUUAUAAAGGCAAAGAUUAUGAAGAUGACUGCAGUGUGAUUAAUAGUGUAACAAAAAAUAAAGAAUUAGAAAAAAUUGAACAUAAUCUUAUACCGACUCGUAAAUCAAAUAGAACAAAAAAGGCUAUUUCGACAAGUCAAAAUGAUUUUUUAUGGUCAAGUUAAAUCAGGAAUAUACUAGGAGGACUGAUUUGCAUCAUGUACAAGCUAUAGAUCAUUCUAUGAGAGGUCAAGUAAUAGUAAAUCAUUCCUACAAUGUAUCUAAAAGCAACGUCAAGUUAAAAAAUAAUUUGAAUCAGUUUAUAAAAAUUUAUCAUCAAAAUAUUUGUGGACUUCAAUACAAAAUUGACGAAUUGGUAGCUUCUUUAUAUCCAGAUAUACCUCAUGUCAUGUGUAUUUCUGAACACCAUUUAAACCAUAUGCAAAUUCAACUUAUUACAAUGGAUGAAUACAAAAGAUGUACUGAAUACUGUAGACAGUCCUUUCAAAAAGGAGGUGUAUGUAUAUAUAUACUUAAGGAACUUUCAUUUACUUCAAUAAAUUUAACUAAAUUUUGUAAAGAUAAAGACUUAGAAGCAUGUGCUAUUAAACUUAAACUGUCAACUACAAAAAUUUGUAUUCUUACUAUUUAUAGAUCACCAGUUGGUAAUGUUCAGUUUUUUCUAAAUGGUCUUGAGGCUAUUCUCAAAAUGGUACACAAACCCAAUAUCCUCUUAAUCAUUUGUGGUGAUUUUAAUGUAAAUUAUCUUGAGGAAUCCAAAGAAAAAAAAAAGAACUAAAUGAUCUACUAAACUCUUACAAUCUUAAUAGCAUAAUCCAAUUUCCAACAAGAAUAACCAAAAACUCAAGUACAACUAUUGAUAAUGUUUUUCUCGAUAUCACCAAAUUUACUCAUUUUAGAAUAUCUCCUGUACCAAACGGCUUAUCAGAUCAUGAUGCCCAAAUACUUGAUAUAUAUACAAAUGAGAGAAUUUUUAAAUGUUCCAAAAAGAAAAUUAAAUACAUUAGGAAAUUUGAUGUAUUCACGAUUCAGGAAUUUCAAGAUCAACUUAGUAAAGAAUCCUGGAGUAACGUAUUUCAUAAUUCCAAUAGUGACAUGAAUAAUAUUUACAAUUCUUUUCUGAAUAUAUAUCUACAAAUUUUUGUCUCAUGUUUUCCUAAGAAAAAGGUUUUUGAAAGACAAUCGACAAAUAAAUGGAUUACCAGUGGUAUCAUUAAUUCAUGUAAAAAGAAAAAGGAUCUAUAUCUUUUAGUUAAAUCCAACAAUGAUGUAAAUUUAAAAACUUAUUACUUAAGAUACUGUAAAAUCUUAGCUAAUAUAAUAAAAGCAGCAAAGAAAUUAUACUUUAAAAAUAAAAUCACACAUGCUCAUAACAAAGUCAAAGCUACUUGGAAUAUUAUAAAAUCGAACAUAGGAAGAAAUAUCAAUGAGCAAGUUAUAGAUAACAUGGAUGAAAAUAAUAAAGAACUCUCUUCUAAAAUCAAUGCUGAAAAAUUCAAUGAAUAUUUUAUAAAAAUGACUGUUAAUAUCUCUGAAAAGAUUAAAAAUAAAAAUAAGUUAAAUACAAACAAUACGAACUACUCUCCAUACAACUUGGCUCAGGUUUAUAAUUUUAAGUACAAUAAUAUCAAUUUACAUAACACUUCUACCAGUGAGAUUUUAAAAAUUAUAAAGAACUUUGCUUGGAAAAAUUCACAGGGUUUCGAUGAAAUUCCUUUGAAACUUUUAAAAAUCAGUGCACCAUUUAUUGCUUCUCCUUUAAGCUAUAUAAUAAAUAAGUCUUUAUCUACAGGGAUUUUUCCUGACAGAAUGAAAUAUUCAAUUAUUGUCCCACUACAUAAAAAGGUGCUUUAAAGAAUGUAGCAAAUUUCAGACCAAUCUCUUUAUUACCUUCCUUUUCUAAAAUCUUUGAAAAAGUUAUCUACAAGAGACUACUUGUGCAUUUUCAAGCCAAUAAUGUCCUUACUAACGAUCAAUUCGGAUUCAGAAAUAAAUCAUCAACUACCAAUGCUAUAUUUAUAAACUUACUAAUAUCAUCUUGUCUACUUUAAAUAAUAAAAAGAAGUGUGGUGGCAUACUUUUUGACGUAGAAAAAGCCUUUGAUUGUGUGGACCAUAGAAUUUUGUUAUCUAAAUUAAAAUAUUAUGGAAUAAAAGGUAGGCUGCAUUUAUUGUUAGAAUCAUACCUUACUAAUAGAUAUCAGAGAGUAAAAUUUAAUAAUAUAUUCUCUAAAUGGGGAAAAAUUACCAAAGGUGUUCCACAGGGAUCGAUUCUGGGUCCACUUUUGUUUUUGGUCUACAUUAAUGACUUACCUUCUUUUAUCAAGCGCUUUGGCCCUCAUAAUACCUCAAUAAUUUUAUUCACUGAUGAUACAAGCGUAUUAACAAAUGAUCUCAACUUCAUGAAUCUAGAAAACAAACUUUCAAUUGUAUUAAAAUUAAUGAAUGAAUGGUUUCAUUCUAAUAUGCUUUCGCUGAAUCUUGACAAAACUUGCUGUAUGAAAUUCUCUGCAAAACAGGGUUACCUCGAUAAUCUAAAUAUUACUUAUGGUAAUAAUAAUUUACGUGAACAAAAUGAUGUAAAAUUUCUAGGACUGAUGCUGGAUAACCUAUUAACAUGGAAAAAACACAUCGAAUCAAUUAUAAUGAAACUGAAUUAUAUUAUAAUAUAUUAUCAGAAGAUCUAAACAAUUUCUAAAUAUCGAUACCCUCAAAAUGAUUUAUUUUGCCUAUUUUCAUUCCAUAAUGUCUUAUGGCUUGAUUUUCUGGGGGAAUUCAUAUCAGAGUAUGCACCUUUUUAGACUUCAAAAAAGAGUUAUUAGAAUUAUGGUUGGUGUAGGUUACAAAGAUCCUUGUAGGAAGAUAUUUUCUUCGCUUAAAAUAUUACCUCUGCCCUCUCUAUAUAUUUUUUCUGUUUUAAUGUUUGUAGUAAACAAUUGGGAAAUGUUUACCAAAAAUUCGGAUGCAUAUUCGAUUACGACUAGAAACAUUUCUAAUCUUUAUCUUCCAUCUGCUAAAUUAUCGAUUUAUCAGAAAGGUACUCAAUUUAUCGGAAUUAAGAUAUUUAAUAAUCUCCCAAUUAACAUAAAACAGCUGCAUGGCAAUAUAAAUCUUUUUAAGAAGACAUUACUCCAAUUUCUAUCUUCGCUCAUUUUAUAGCAUUGAUAAAUUUUUUAAAUAUAAAAAAUAAUAAUCUUCAUACUGAAUCCAAUUGAUAAAUCCACCUAUAUAAAUACUUCUGUUGUUUACCAUAAUUUUAAAUAUCUGUUAAAAUUUAUUACUCAUUUAUGCAGAUAUAAGCAUGUAAUAAGACCCCAUUUGAAUUUAUUUGUUAGGUUGUUAAUUUUGUGACACUUAUGUAUUAAGUAUGACAUGUAUAUUUUCAUGUUUAUCUGUAAGUAUGCAAUAAAAAUUUCGUUCUUUAAAUUUUAACUAUACAAAUAUGGUGUGUAUACAACUUAGACUUGUUUCUUAUUUGUGUUCUUACAUUUUGAUAAAUUAGCUUAAUUCAUAUGAUUUCAUAUUAGGGUAUGAUUUUGGAGUUUCUUGUGAAGUUCUUAUUAUGACCAGUAUAUGUUUUUAUUUUCAUUUUAUUGUUUUUAUUGACAAAUGUGUUUUACAUGUAUUAUAUUUGUAUUUUCUACUGUUGUAUUUUGACAAUCUGCUUGUUUGUAAAGCAAUGAUUUUUUAUCUGACUGUUCCUAUAUCCGAUGGUUGUUCUCACAACAUUGUAAAGAUCUUAUGGAAUAUAAAUAAACUAACUUACUAAC